GCUGGGAUAGCUCAGUUGGUAGGGCAUGAGACUGUUAUUCUCAUGGUUGUGGGUUCAAGUUCCACUUUGGGCA